GGGGAUGUAGCUCAGAUGGUAGAGUGCUCGCCUAGCAUGCGAGAGGUACGGGGAUCGAUACCUUGCAUCUCCA
rnacentral:tRNA from 1 species